CGUCUAUAUACGUAUAGCAUAUCAAUAAGCGGAGGAAAAGAAACUAACUAGGAUUCCCUCAGUAACGGCGAGUGAAGCGGGAAGAGCUCAAAUUUGAAAUCUUCAAGGUUCUACCUUGACGAAUUGUAGUUUAAAGAAGUGUUUUCUGUUGGAGUUUUGGUAAAAGUUCUUUGGAAUAGGACAUCAUAGAGGGUGAGAAUCCCGUAUUUGACCAUUAUUUCCAGCUUUGUGAUACACUUUCAAAGAGUCGGAUUGUUUGGGAAUGCAGUCCAAAAUGGGUGGUAAAUUUCAUCUAUAGCUAAAUAUUGGCGAGAGACCGAUAGCGAACAAGUACCGUGAGGGAAAGAUGAAAAGAACUUUGAAAAGAGAGUUAAACAGUACGUGAAAUUGUCAAAAGGGAAGCGUUUGACACCAGUGUUGUUUUCUCGAAAAUCAAUUAAAAAAGACUGGAUUUUGUGUUGUAUUGACUUUAUCAGCUUUCUGCACUCUUUUCUUGUCUUUUUUAAUGCACUUUUCGUUUAACAAGUCAACAUCAAUUUCUUUUGUUGUAAAAGGGUCAUUGGAAGGUGGCUUUCUUUUCGGAGAAAGUGUUUAUAGCCUUUGGCCUCUGCAAUCGGAGAGAUUGAGGUCUGCAGCGUAGAUCCUUCGGGGUUAGAUACAUUUGUGCUAAGUUAUAGCCUUUCAUAGACAACUUGUUGACUAUGAUCAGUCAUGUAGCUUACUCGCUUAUGCUAUUUUACCUACGCUUAGGAUGUUGAAGUCAUCGUAUCGCGC
rnacentral:rRNA from 1 species